UACGGGGGGGGCAAGCGUUGUUCGGAAUUACUGGGCGUAAAGGGCUCGUAGGCGGCCAACUAAGUCAGACGUGAAAUCCCUCGGCUUAACCGGGGAACUGCGUCUGAUACUGGAUGGCUUGAGGUUGGGAGAGGGAUGCGGAAUUCCAGGUGUAGCGGUGAAAUGCGUAGAUAUCUGGAGGAACACCAGAGGCGAAGGCGGUUACCUGGACAGUUACUGACGCUCAGGCACGAAAGCGUGGGUAGCAAACAGG
rnacentral:rRNA from 1 species